GGUAGUCUGAAAGCGUAAGUGGCAAGCAAGAAAGGGAACCGGGAAUCAGCCCGGGAGCCCUCCUCCUUUUUGAGGACCACCCUCCUCUACUAAGACGCAUCAUUUAUCUUCCCCUCCCAGCGUGAGCUCUGGCAGGAGGUGGUGGCCUGGUUUCCCAGGCCCUGCUCCCAGGGCCUCCCAGCCUGUCUCCCAGGAGAUGCCCUUCUCAGCCGCAGGCCAGAGCCUGCCCAGCCUGCCUGGGGACCGACUCCAACACAGGCCUGGGAUGGUGCCUCUGCGAGUGAUCCCGCUGAGGGGUGGUGUUGCCUGCCUGUGCAUGAUUGCAUACUCCUGUGUAUAUCAGGAUUGUAUGAAGUCCACAUUGUUUUCUUCAUUUCAAGAACACAAGCUUUGGACUCUCGCAGAGCUGGGUCUGAAGCCUGACUCUAUUGGCCCACAGCCAUGUGACCUCAGGAAAAUUGCUUGCUGAAUUCCUUGAGCUCCCAUCUCCUCAUCCAUGAAAUGGGGUUUUUGGGAAGAGUAAAUGGGACAAUCCAGGCAACACCCCAGCAUUCCGGGCCUGAGACUGGGGAAACACUACUGCUGAGCCACCAAGGUAAGGAAGUGGAGGAUUGGUGGUUAAGAGGAGUGGCCAGGGUCUCAGAGCUGGGAAGGGGCAGUGCUGACACCAGAAUGUGCUGGGUCUGCCCAGGCACCGCUCCCUGCCAAAGAUGCGGAUGCCUCCUUUCUUGAGCCCUGGUUUCUGCACCUGUGAGUAGAGGAGCUAAAUGGAGAGGGCCUGCUGGGUUCAGGCGGCUGGGUCAUGGUGAUGACAGGUUGCAGGGCUGGAAGGGUGGGGGAAGUGACAUGCCCCGGCUAGAACCAGAAUUAGUUCAGCUUGUUCCCUGCUGUGACCAAAGAACUUGACAAUAACAAUUUUAAGGAGCGAAAAUUUAUAUGGGGGCUCACAGUUUCAGAGGUCUCAGUUCAUAGAUGGCCAGCUCCAUUUCUCGAGGCCUGAGGUGGGGCAGAACAUCAUGGCGGAAGUGCUCAGUGGAGGGAAGUGGCUCAGGAUGUGAUCAGAAAGGCAC
rnacentral:lncRNA from 1 species